rnacentral:ncRNA from 2 species
CGAGUCACUUUCUGACUUAGUUGGGAGGGAAGACUCAAAGUAAUUGGGAAGCAGGUGUAAUUCCUGCAGUGUGCCGCAGCGGUGACCCCGACUUAGUCUGGGAACUCCGAAUACCGACCAAGAAUAGUGUGCCCCG